ACACUCCUGCGGGAGGCAGCAGUGGGGAAUAUUGGACAAUGGGCGCAAGCCUGAUCCAGCCAUGCCGCGUGAGUGAUGAAGGCCCUAGGGUUGUAAAGCUCUUUCACCGGUGAAGAUAAUGUCGGUAACCGGAGAAGAAGCCCCGGCUAACUUCGUGCCAGCAGCCGCGGUAAUACGAAGGGGGCUAGCGUUGUUCGGAUUUACUGGGCGUAAAGCGCACGUAGGCGGACUAUUAAGUCAGGGGUGAAAUCCCGGGGCUCAACCCCGGAACUGCCUUUGAUACUGGUAGUCUUGAGUUCGAGAGAGGUGAGUGGAAUUCCGAGUGUAGAGGUGAAAUUCGUAGAUAUUCGGAGGAACACCAGUGGCGAAGGCGGCUCACUGGCUCGAAACUGACGCUGAGGUGCGAAAGCGUGGGGAGCAAACAGGAUUAGAAACCCCUGUAGUCCCAUG
rnacentral:rRNA from 1 species